rnacentral:rRNA from 1 species
CCUACGGGAGGCUGCAGUGAGGAAUAUUGGACAAUGGGCGCGAGCCUGAAGCAGCCAAGCCGCGUGAAGGAUGACUGCCCUACGGGUUGUAAACUUCUUUUAUAAAGGAAUAAAGUGAGGCAUGUGUGCCUUUUUGUAUGUACUUUAUGAACAAGGAUCGGCUAACCUCGGUCCGGCAGCGGCGGUAAUACGGAGGGUACGAGCGUUACCCGGAUUUAUUGGGCUGAAAGGGAACGUAGCUGGGUUGUUAAGUCAGAUGUGAAAGUUUGUGGCUCAACCGUAAAAUUGCAAUUGAUACUGGCAGUCUUGAGUACAGUAGAGGUAGGCAGAAUUCGUGGUGUAGCGGUGAAAUGCGUAGAGAUCACGAAGAACACCGAUUGCGAAGGCAGCUUACUGAACUGCCACUGACAUUGAGGCGCGAAAGUGUGGGUAUCAAACAGGAUUAGAUACCCGAGUAGUC